GACGAACGCUGGCGGCGUGCUUAACACAUGCAAGUCGAACGCUGAAGCUUGGUGCUUGCACUGGGUGGAUGAGUGGCGAACGGGUGAGUAAUACGUGAGUAACCUGCCCUUGACUCUGGGAUAAGCCUGGGAAACUGGGUCUAAUACUGGAUAUGACAUGCCACUGCAUGGUGGUGUGUGGAAAGGGUUUUACUGGUUUUGGAUGGGCUCACGGCCUAUCAGCUUGUUGGUGGGGUAAUGGCCUACCAAGGCGACGACGGGUAGCCGGCCUGAGAGGGUGACCGGCCACACCGGGACUGGGGCACGGGCCAGACUCCUACGGGAGGCAGCAGUGGGGAAUAUUGCACAAUGGGCGGAAGCCUGAUGCAGCGACGCCGCGUGGGGGAUGACGGCCUUCGGGGUGUAAACCUCUUUCAGCACGGAAGAAGCGAGAGUGACGGUACGUGCAGAAGAAGCGCCGGCUAACUACGUG
rnacentral:rRNA from 1 species